rnacentral:rRNA from 1 species
UACGGGGGGGGCAAGCGUUGUUCGGAAUUACUGGGCGUAAAGGCUCGUAGGCGGCCAACUAAGUCAGGCGUGAAAUCCCUCGGCUUAACCGGGGAACUGCAUCUGAUACUGGAUGGCUUGAGAUUGGGAGAGGGAUGCGGAAUUCCAGGUGUAGCGGUGAAAUGCGUAGAUAUCUGGAGGAACACCGGUGGCGAAGGCGGCAUCCUGGACCAACACUGACGCUGAGGAGCGAAAGCCAGGGGAGCAAACGGG